UGAUGGAGCAACGCCGCGUGAGUGAAGAAGGGUUUCGGCUCGUAAAGCUCUGUUGGUAGUGAAGAAAGAUAGAGGCAGUAACUGGCCUUUAUUUGACGGUAAUUACUUAGUAAGUCACGGCUAACUACGUGCCAGCAGCCGCGGUAAUACGUAGGUGGCAAGCGUUGUCCGGAUUUAUUGGGCGUAAAGCGAGUGCAGGCGGUUCAAUAAGUCUGAUGUGAAAGCCUUCGGCUCAACCGGAGAGUUGCGUCAGAAACUGUUGAACUUGAGUGCAGAGGAGGAGAGUGGAACUCCAUGUGUAGCGGUGGAAUGCGUAGAUAUAUGGAAGAACACCAGUGGCGAAGGCGGCUCUCUGGUCUGCAACUGACGCUGAGGCUCGAAAGCAUGGGUAGCGAACAGGAUUAGAUACCCUGGUAGUCCAUGCCGUAAACGAUGAGUGCUAAGUGUUGGGACGUUUCCGCCUCUCAGUGCUGCAGCUAACGCAUUAAGCACUCCGCCUGGGGAGUACGACCGCAAGGUUGAAACUCAAAGGAAUUGGCGGGGGCCCGCACAAGCGGUGGAGCAUGUGGUUUAAUUCGAAGCAACGCGAAGAACCUUA
rnacentral:rRNA from 1 species